rnacentral:rRNA from 1 species
AACGAACGCUGGCGGCAUGCCUAACACAUGCAAGUCGAACGAUGCUUUCGGGCAUAGUGGCGCACGGGUGCGUAACGCGUGGGAAUCUGCCCUUGGGUUCGGAAUAACAGUGAGAAAUUGCUGCUAAUACCGGAUGAUGUCUUCGGACCAAAGAUUUAUCGCCCAGGGAUGAGCCCGCGUAGGAUUAGCUAGUUGGUGGGGUAAUGGCCUACCAAGGCGACGAUCCUUAGCUGGUCUGAGAGGAUGAUCCGCCACACUGGGACUGAGACACGGCCCAGACUCCUACGGGGAGCAGCAGUGGGGAAUAUUGGACAAUGGGCGCAAGCCUGAUCCAGCAAUGCCGCGUGAGUGAUGAAGGCCUUAGGGUUGUAAAGCUCUUUUACCCGGGAUGAUAAUGACAGUACCGGGAGAAUAAGCGCCGGCUAACUCCGUG